AGUGAACGCUGGCGGUAGGCCUAACACAUGCAAGUCGAACGGCAGCACAGUAAGAGCUUGCCCUUACGGGUGGCGAGUGGCGGACGGGUGAGGAAUACAUCGGAAUCUACUUUUUCGUGGGGGAUAACGUAGGGAAACUUACGCUAAUACCGCAUACGACCUACGGGUGAAAGCAGGGGAUCUUCGGACCUUGCGCGAUUGAAUGAGCCGAUGUCGGAUUAGCUAGUUGGCGGGGUAAAGGCCCACCAAGGCGACGAUCCGUAGCUGGUCUGAGAGGAUGAUCAGCCACACUGGGACUGAGACACGGUCCAGACUCCUACGGGAGGCAGCAGUGGGGAAUAUUGGACAAUGGGCGCAAGCCUGAUCCAGCCAUACCGCGUGGGUGAAGAAGGCCUUCGGGUUGUAAAGCCCUUUUGUUGGGAAAGAAAAGCAGCAGGUUAAUACCCCGCUGUUCUGACGGUACCCAAAGAAUAAGCACCGGCUAACUUCGUG
rnacentral:rRNA from 1 species